rnacentral:rRNA from 1 species
AGUGAACGCUGGCGGUAGGCCUAACACAUGCAAGUCGAACGGCAGCACAGUAAGAGCUUGCUCUUACGGGUGGCGAGUGGCGGACGGGUGAGGAAUACAUCGGAAUCUACUUUUUCGUGGGGGAUAACGUAGGGAAACUUACGCUAAUACCGCAUACGACCUACGGGUGAAAGCAGGGGAUCUUCGGACCUUGCGCGAUUGAAUGAGCCGAUGUCGGAUUAGCUAGUUGGCGGGGUAAAGGCCCACCAAGGCGACGAUCCGUAGCUGGUCUGAGAGGAUGGUCAGCCACACUGGAACUGGGACACGGUCCAGACUCCUACGGGAGGCAGCAGUGGGGAAUGUUGGACAAUGGGCGCAAGCCUGAUCCAGCCAUACCGCGUGGGUGAAGAAGGCCUUCGGGUUGUGAAGCCCUUUUGUUGGGAAAGAAAAGCAGCAGGUUAAUACCCCGCUGUUCUGACGGUACCCGAAGAAUAAGCACCGGCUAACUUCGUG